AAUGAAUGAUGACAACUUGUUUCGGUCCCAUAUGAGGCAAUGAUUAACAUUUCCCAAUGCUGACAUU